rnacentral:rRNA from 1 species
AUCUACCCUUAAAUCGGGGAUAGCUUUGCGAAAGUAAGGAUAAUACCCGAUGUGUUUAUGAUGGCGCAAGCUGUUAUAAGUAAAGGUGGCUCGUAAGAGUUGCUGUUUAAGGUUGAGCUCGCGUCCUAUCAGCUAGUUGGCAGGGUAACGGCCUACCAAGGCAAUUGACGGGUAGCUGGCCUGAGAGGGUGGUCAGCCACACGGGGACUGAGACACUGCCCCGACUCCUACGGGAGGCUGCAGUCGAGGAUCUUUAGCAAUGGGCGAAAGCCUGACUAUGCGACGCCGCGUGAGGGAUGAAGGUUUUCGGAUCGUAAACCUCUUUCGAUAGGGAAGAAACCCCUGACUAACACUCAGGGCUGACGGUACCUAGAGAAGAAGCCACGGCCAACUCCGUGCCAGCAGCCGCGGUAAUACGGGGGUGGCGAGC